AAAGCUUGGAUGAGUCGAUAAGAGGCGUUUAAUCCAAGAUGUCCGAAUGGGGAAACCCGAUGGAUGAAGAAUCCAUCAUUUCAUUGUGAAUACAUAGCAAUGAAAGGCGAACCGGGAGAACUGAAACAUCUAAGUACCCCGAGGAAAAGAAAUCAACCGAGAUUCUGUGAGUAGCGGCGAGCGAAAGCGGAAGAGCCAGUAAGUUUUAGCUAGUGUAUUAGAGGAAUUGGCUGGGAAGCCAAAUCAAAGAGGGUGAUAAUCCCGUACUCGAAAAUACGAUAGUGGAACUAAGCUUACGAUAAGUAGGGCGGGACACGAGAAAUCCUGUUUGAAGAUGGGGGGACCAUCCUCCAAGGCUAAAUACUCCUGAUUGACCGAUAGUGAACCAGUACUGUGAAGGAAAGGCGAAAAGAACCCCGGUGAGGGGAGUGAAAUAGAACCUGAAACCCUGUACGUACAAGCAGUAGGAGCGAGGGAAACCUUGUGACUGCGUACCUUUUGUAUAAUGGGUCAGCGACUUAUAUUUUGUAGCGAGGUUAACUGAAUAAGGGAGCCGAAGGGAAACCGAGUCUUAACUGGGCGUUGAGUUGCAAGGUAUAGACCCGAAACCCGGUGAUCUAGCCAUGGGCAGGUUGAAGGUUGGGUAACACUAACUGGAGGACCGAACCGACUAAUGUUGAAAAAUUAGCGGAUGACUUGUGGCUGGGGGUGAAAGGCCAAUCAAACCGGGAGAUAGCUGGUUCUCCCCGAAAUCUAUUUAGGUAGAGCCUUGAGCGGACACCUUCGGGGGUAGAGCACUGUUUCGGCUAGGGGUCCAUCCCGGAUUACCAACCCGAUGCAAACUGCGAAUACCGAAGAGUGAUACUCAGGAGACACACGGCGGGUGCUAACGUUCGUCGUGGAGAGGGAAACAACCCAGACCGCCAGCUAAGGUCCCAAAGUCUAUAUUAAGUGGGAAACGAAGUGGGAAGGCUUAGACAGCUAGGAUGUUGGCUUAGAAGCAGCCAUCAUUUAAAGAAAGCGUAAUAGCUCACUAGUCGAGUCGGCCUGCGCGGAAGAUGUAACGGGGCUCAAAUAUAGCACCGAAGCUGCGGCAUCAGAAUUUAUUCUGUUGGGUAGGGGAGCGUUGUGUAAGCGGAAGAAGGUGGCUCGAGAGGGUUGCUGGACGUAUCACAAGUGCGAAUGCUGACAUAAGUAACGAUAAAACGAGUGAAAAACUCGUUCGCCGGAAGACCAAGGGUUCCUGUCCAACGUUAAUCGGGGCAGGGUGAGUCGGCCCCUAAGGCGAGGCUGAAAAGCGUAGUCGAUGGGAAACGGGUUAAUAUUCCCGUACUUGGUAAAGCUGCGAUGUGGGGACGGAGAAGGUUAGGUAAGCGGACUGUUGGAAAUGUCCGUUUAAGUUGGUAGUUGGGAGCGGUAGGCAAAUCCGCUGCUCCAUUCAACAACGAGAGAUGAUGACGAGUUCCUAAGGGAAUGAAGUUACCGAUACCCGGCUUCCAGGAAAAGCCACUAAGCGAAAGGCUUUACUAAACCGUACUGAAAACCGACACAGGUGGUCAGGUAGAGAAUACUCAGGCGCUUGAGAGAACUCGGGUGAAGGAACUAGGCAAAAUAGCACCGUAACUUCGGGAGAAGGUGCGCUUACAGUAAUUGUAGUCCCUCGCGGAUGAAGGUGAAGUAAGUCGAAGAUACCAGCUGGCUGCAACUGUUUAUUAAAAACACAGCACUCUGCAAACACGAAAGUGGACGUAUAGGGUGUGAUGCCUGCCCGGUGCUGGAAGGUUAAUUGAUGGUGUUAUCGAAAGAGAAGCUCCUGAUCGAAGCCCCAGUAAACGGCGGCCGUAACUAUAACGGUCCUAAGGUAGCGAAAUUCCUUGUCGGGUAAGUUCCGACCUGCACGAAUGGCAUAAUGAUGGCCAGGCUGUCUCCACCCGAGACUCAGUGAAAUUGAAAUCGCCGUGAAGAUGCGGUGUACCCGCGGCUAGACGGAAAGACCCCGUGAACCUUUACUAUAGCUUGACACUGAACAUUGAAUUUUGAUGUGUAGGAUAGGUGGGAGCCUUUGAAGCAGUGACGCCAGUCAUUGUGGAGGCGACCUUGAAAUACCACCCUUUAACGUUUGAUGUUCUAACGAAGUGCCUGAAACGGGUACUCGGACAGUGUCUGGUGGGUAGUUUGACUGGGGCGGUCUCCUCCCAAAGCGUAACGGAGGAGCACGAAGGUUUGCUAAUGACGGUCGGACAUCGUCAGGUUAGUGCAAUGGUAUAAGCAAGCUUAACUGCGAGACGGACAAGUCGAGCAGGUGCGAAAGCAGGUCAUAGUGAUCCGGUGGUUCUGAAUGGAAGGGCCAUCGCUCAACGGAUAAAAGGUACUCCGGGGAUAACAGGCUGAUACCGCCCAAGAGUUCAUAUCGACGGCGGUGUUUGGCACCUCGAUGUCGGCUCAUCACAUCCUGGGGCUGAAGUAGGUCCCAAGGGUAUGGCUGUUCGCCAUUUAAAGUGGUACGCGAGCUGGGUUUAGAACGUCGUGAGACAGUUCGGUCCCUAUCUGCCGUGGGCGUUGGAUGAUUGAUUGGGGCUGCUCCUAGUACGAGAGGACCGGAGUGGACGCAUCACUGGUGUUCCAGUUGUCUCGCCAGAGGCAUUGCUGGGUAGCUAAAUGCGGAAGAGAUAAGUGCUGAAAGCAUCUAAGCACGAAACUUGCCAAGAGAUGAGUCAUCCCUGACUUUAAGUCAGUAAGGGUUGUUUAAGACUAAGACGUAGAUAGGUUGGGUGUGUAAGUGUAGUGAUACAUUGAGCUAACCAAUACUAAUUGCCCGAGAGGC
rnacentral:rRNA from 1 species